UUUUUUUUUUUGCCAUUCCUUUCUGGUCCAGCGAGGGUGACGUUGCCGGUGAUGUCUGAGGACCUGUCUACAAGACCUGUCCAGCGCCUCUCAGCCUAUUGCGGACAGUCUGAGCACUGAUGGAGGGAUUGUGCCUUCCUUGUGUAGCUUGGGCAGUUGCCAUCCUGUCCCGCAGGUGUUACCCGUGGGCUGCCACUGCAAGGACGAUCAGCUGUCGGUCCUGUCUCCGUAAUGCCUCCUUGCAGCAUGCCUAAGGCACGUUCAUGCAGAUGAGUAGGGACCCUGGGCUUCUUGUCUUUCAGAGUCAGAAAAGCCUCUUUAGUGUGCAAUUUCCUGACUGCCCUUACUUGCCUGUAAGCUGUUAAUGUCCAAAUGACCUUUCCACAGGUGCAUGUUCAUUAAGUCAUUAACAAGCGCCGGGAAAGUGUUUAAACCUUUUACAAUGAAGAUCUGAUGUUAAUUUGUAAAUUUCCAAUUUUCUUCAAAAGACAUGGUCCUUGUAAAAGGGAUGUAUUUUUUUGGUGAGUUUAUUACUCCGCAAACUGUGUAGCUUUAAAAGUAGAACAUUUCACGUGGAUGUCAGCGUGCUGUCUGAAUAUUAGUGUUACAUUUCCUUACCUCAGCCGUUCCCUGUAGACUAUGUAGUGAGGCAGCUGUUUGGUGGUUCGAAUCCCAGAAUGUAGCUUUGCGUUUCCACACUCGCUGUCUAAAGACGUGUGUACGUACAAGAUGUAUUUAUUAAAGCCAACUGGUUUCAAUUGUUCUGCCUGCGGAUAUGGAACAUGGACCUGUUCAUCGGA